rnacentral:rRNA from 1 species
GUUCUGCUCAAUGAAUGGUCUCAAUAGCUGCACUGUAUUGACUGUGCAAAGGUAGCAUAAUAAAUAGUGUUUUAAUUGAGAACUCGAAUGAGUGAGUUAUUGACAUAUAAACUCUAUAUAGAUAAAAAAUUGAAUUUUAUUUUUAAGUUAAAAAGCUCAUAUGGAUUUAUAAGACGCUAUUACCCUAUAGAAUCUUAUAAUAUUAUAUAAAAAUGAAUGUUAUAAUUAAUUGAUAUAAUUUAUAAUAAAUUAUUUUGGGAGGAAGAUUACUAUGAUAUAAACUACCAUAAAUUAUAAACUAUCCUAAUGGUUAACUACGUUAAUGAAUUUAUUCGAUUAUAAUAAUUAAAUUAAAUUCCUUACGGAUAACAGCGUAGUAUUUUUGGAUAGUCAUAUUGAUAAAAUUGAUCCGACCUCGAUGCUGAAUUAACAUAAUAUGAAUUCGUAGAAGUGUAAAAUUAAGUCAUGUCGACUUUUUAAAAUCUUACAUGAUUUGAGUCA